AGGGUUUUAGGGUUUUAGCCUUUUUCCCCCCAAACCCCUCCCCUCUCUCUCUCUCUCCCCGACUUCCCCUUCUGUUUCUGUUUACCCAUCGAUGAUGAUGAUGAGAUGAGAAACUUCUUCGGGUCACUUCUCUCUCUCUCCCGUUAUCACUCCCAAACCCUACCCUCUCAUCUUCAUCGUCACCAUGAACCCGCAUUUUUCACGAACCAAAGCUUUCUUCUCUUCUCGUUCCUUCAUAAUCAACCCCAUCAAUCGUAAGGAACUCCGCCUCUCCGCUUUCGCGUGCCAAUUCCACUCCUCGCCAUCGCCUUCGUAUUUGUCGCGGCGUCACGAGGAGGAGAGCCGGGCCGUGAGGGUGUCCGUGUGGUGGGACUUCGAGAAUUGCACGCUGCCGGCCGGAGCCAACGCAUUCAGGGUCGCCCAGAGCAUUGCUGCCGCGAUUAGGGCAAAUGGCAUCAAGGGCCCCAUCCAGAUCACGGCGUUUGGCGAUGUAUUGCAGCUCUCCAGGUCGAACCAGGAGGCUCUCUCGGCUACUGGGAUCAAUCUCACUCACAUUCCUAAUGGUGGAAAAAAUAGUGCUGAUAGAUCCCUUCUUAUAGAUCUUAUGUACUGGGUAUCCCAAAACCCUCCUCCAGCACAUCUUUUCCUAAUUUCUGGUGACAGGGAUUUUGCGGGCAUUUUACAUCGAUUAAGAAUGAGCAAUUACAAUAUCUUGCUUGCCAGUCCAGAGACUGCUCCAAGUGUUCUUUGCUGUGCUGCAAGUAUCAUGUGGCAUUGGAAUACUUUGGUUAAAGGGGAAAACCUUACUGGAAAGCAUUUUAACCAACCUCCAGAUGGACCAUAUGGUUCUUGGUAUGCCCAUUAUAGGGCGCCUCUUAAGGAUCCAUUUGCAGUUACUGAGCAGCUGGCUUCUUCACGAACUGAGGAGGUGUCUGAUUCUAAUUCAGAUCCCAAGCCUCGUACAGUUCCAAAGGCAGUUGUAAAGCAGAUUCGGCGAAUAUUGAAAUCUUAUCCUGAAGGGAUCAGUUUGGGAGACCUCCGUUUGGAGUUGAAGAAGUGUAAUUUGAGCAUAGAUAAGGACUUGUAUGGAUUUAAAAAAUUCUCUCACUUUCUUUUAUCGAUGCCUCAUAUUUUAAACCUUUGCACUGUUGGUGACGGCCAGCUUCUUAUACGUUUGGUUGCCUCAAAAGUAUCUGAGCCAGUUAAAACAACUACAGGUGUAGCUUCAGGAGCUAAUACCAAUAAUGCAGAGUCAGAUUCCGUAAUAACUUCUAAGGUUAAUGGUGUUGGCAGCCCUAGUUCUACAGAUGUGGAUGAGAACGCAUCGCCUCCAAAGAUGGAAAUAAAUGCUAAAGAAUCCUCAAGAAAAUUGCAAGAGCCACAAGUGAAAUUGGCAGAGCCACCUCCACUUUCUGAGAAGGUAAAUAAUGCCAAGAAAACUGAGAAGCAUUUGCAUCUUAUUGAAGAUUGCAGUUCCACAUGUGACGAAGGAUUUUUCACAAGGAUGUGGAGGAAAUGGUUUGCUGAAAAAGAUGGUGUUCCUGAGAAGAUAAGUACUAGUUCCAGUGAGAGUGAUGUGAGUACGAAGGCUGAGGUUGCAAGACCAACAUCUCAGAACACUGAUCCAGCAGAUCCAGCUUCACUUUCUCCAUCCAACAGUAAAACAACUAUGAACAAAGUUGACAGGGAUGAUGAACCAUAUGGUGAUAAAUCUAGUAGACAUACCGGUUUUUGGAAGCAGAUAAGAAGUUGGUGUGUGUUUUGGAGAAAAAGCAACUUUGAAAACUCAAGGGAACAAUCUGUUGACAAACUAAACCAUGUACCCAUUGAUUGUGGGAAAGAUGGAUUAUUUUUACAGGAAUCUUUCUGGAAGGAAAUGGAGGCAUUUAUAAAUACACCACCAAAUGGUUCAAUCCUUGUCUUACAAUCAAGAAGCAGGGAGCAGCUGGCUCAGAACUUGCAACAGCAAGGGCCUUCAGUUAUCAGAUGCCUUGGUCAAGACGAUCUUCUUAAUCUGGUGGACUUGUUAAUUUCAGAUAAGAAGUGGGUGACAGAGUGCCCCUCUGAAAAGUAUCCUUUCAAACUCAUCCUACCUGCUGGAAAGAGUUCCAGUUCCACUCCUACCAAUUCAAAUGGCUUAAGAUCUCUCUUUUUAUCAAAAUCUGAGUGUAGUUCAAACAGAUUGCUGGAAUAUGAUGAAGAAAAAAGACACCAGAAUCUUCCACGCACUGGAGUCUGUCUGCCUGUCAUCAAUAAGAAAGCUUCUGGCAAGUCCAGAAAUGAGAUGUUAGCUGACUGUCAUAAGCUUGUUGAUGACAUUUUGAAGGAAUACCCUGAAGGGUUCAAUAUGGCCUCCUUUAGAAAAAUGUUUCUAGAGCGGAAUGGCUAUCCUUUGGAUAUUCAAAAGCUGGGAUACCAAAAACUGGUGACCUUGUUACAGAUAAUGCCUGGGGUGAAAGUAGAAUCCACUAUCAUUUAUCCAAGUUCUAGCCUUGAAACUGCACUUCCUAGUGCUGAAAAUAAUACCAAUAUUUCAACAUUAAAUUUAGAUGAUGAAAUAUCUGACGGAUCCAAGAAAGGCGAUGAUCCUGACUGUCCAUGGGAGGAGCUAGGGCCUGUUGCCAGCACAGCUCCCCAGCAAAAUGAAAUCGAUUUGGGGUCCAAAAGGAGCGCAAAUGAAGAAACUGUAAAGCAGAGAAAUCACGAUUACGAAGCCCUGGCAGAUGAUUACAUCACAGAUUCGGAAGAAGAGGAUUCAUCCUUAGUUGGAUCAGAUGAGACAGGGAAGCCUGGAAUAAACGAGGGAGAUAGCCCAUUACUAAAGAUUCUUGACUCGUGGUACAGAACUAAGGAGGAGAUCAACAGAAAGGAAGGGCGGGAUAAUGUGGAUGGCAAGGUAAAUUGUUCUCAAAUUGUCUUAAAACCGUCUGAUUCCCCUGCCGCUAGCAUUGAAACUGAAACUCCUCCCUUCAGGUCUGGAGUGAAGCAAAGACCUUUUAGGAGGUAUUCUUUUGUUGAAGACCAGCCUAGGGGAAACAAAGACGAGCUGAUUGAUGGUAUACUAGGUACCUUGAAGAAGCGAGGUGGUGAUUCGAGGGUCCAGGGUUAAAUGUUUCCUGAAGUGAGGACAAGGAAAUGGUGCAUCCUGGUUCUUCAGGUAGAACUUUGACUAAUAGGGGUCCUCUUGAUAAUUUCGACCAAAGAUGGGUUGAGUCUGAAGGGAUGGGGGCAGCAAAAUCAGAUGAUUAAUGCUGAUCUGAUACGAGCGAGCUUAGGUUUAUUGGGUCAAUGAUUCUAAAUGCCAUUUCUAUCGAUACGGGAGUGCGGGUGGGUUUGUGACAUAUCCAAGUCAUUACGGUAGAGUAAAUCUUGAUAUUCAUUCAUACCCGGCAGCUGCAGGCAAAAAAAUCAUUGUCCCUAAUAAACCAAGAUUUCCUUGCUUCCAUGUGAGAAAGAACAAGUGGCUAUUAUGCCCGGUCACAAGAGCCACGAAGCAAGCAAACAAAUAUGACAUCUGGCUGGUAAUGCAUGGUUGAAGUAAGAUACGAGAUAUGGACCUCUCCUACAGUCGCAGCCAAGCAAAGCAAAGCAAGCAAGCCAGCCAGCCAGCCUCUCCUCUCCUCUCCUCCACUGCCCACUGCAGGCUUUCCCUUCCCCCCCAGUAGUUAAAAGGCUACCAAUCAUUCAACAAAUAUGCCACCAUCUUCUUCUUGUUAUCUUUUUAUCUUGCACUAUUUGUAAAUUUCAACUCAACUUCUUGACUCAAAAGGAUUAUUAUUCAUAUACAUAUACAUACAUAUAUAGAGUUUUAACCUUAUAACUCCAAAUAAAAAUUAUACAUGAAGAAUUAAUAAAAUAAGUAAAAAUGAUAAUUCAUAUACUGUUUGUAGCUUCACAACCACCCAAUAGGUUCCAAACUCAGUUGAGGUUUAAUAAAUUUUAGGAUUUUAGAAUAUUUUAGUAAAUUUUAAUAUAUUUAAUAAUGAAUCACAUCACUAUGCGUUUGUGAUGAAUGGGAGGCGACCUUUUCUUUUGGGUUUGCAACAAAUAACAAAUCGGAAGAAUGAAAGGUGGGAGUGGACUUUUUCUUCUUCCUUAUAUUAUUAUUAUUAUUAUUAUGUGCAUUUCAUUUUAUUUCAGGCCUGUUUGGAAGAAUGAAAUAUUCUGAAAUAAUUUUUUUUUUUUUGCUUUUUAUAAAUUAGAGAUGAUUGGACAAACACAAAAAUAGAUUUGUUUAUUUUUAUCCCAUUGCCAUUAAUCUUUCAAAUAAAGAGUCUUACACUUUAUUUAUAAUUCAUUUCAUUCCAUCAGUAAGUAAAUGUAAAUCUUCCCCAAACACAACCUUGAAAAUACAAAGCCUCAUCAUCCAUUACUGAAUAAAUGUUUCCACAACACAGCCUUACAGCCUCAUCAACAACCUCAUCAUUCAAUACUAAAUGUUUCCGGAACAGGGCCCUACAAAUACAACAACCUCAUCAUCAUCCUCAUAAAUUCCCAACAGCCUGCCCGCCAGCCACCGCCAGAAGCACCUGCUACUGCUGCUGCUGCUUCUUCAUCUUCUUCCAAGUAUUAUAUAUACAUGUACUAGCUGCUGCUGCUGCUUCUUGAUCUUCAUCUUCAACCAACGACACACACGCACUCUUAGAGCAAAUGACAGAACAAAAGCACCCACUUAAGGCUCUCGGUUGGGCCGCCACUGAUACUUCUGGGAUCCUCUCUCCCUUCCAUUUCUCCCGAAG